UAAUGUGAGCACAAUUGACAUUUAAACAGACAUUUCAGGAGUAGAACUGGUCUUGGUCACUAAUUGGAUUGAGUAGAAAGAGGAGAAAGCAGAAGCCAAUAUUUACAACUCCAAAUUUGGAAAUUUAAGGCCUGCAGCAGACUGUGAUGACUUGGACAGGCCUAGAAGAAAAGAAGAGAGUCUGAAUAGAUGAAAUGAAGGGGCGUUUCCAGAGGGAGGAGCCUGAAGAGGCACAGAUGUUUUCAAGCUUUGAUUGUCAGUACCUCCUACUCCCCUUUUCACAAGCCAGGCAGCUGUGUGGGGAAAACAGAUCUGGUCACCUGGAUUCAAAAGAGGCAUUUUCUUAAAUGGCAGAAGAGGAUCCACCCAACAUAUAACUUCAAUUGUCUUCAACUGAGAUGUCAGAAAGAAGAUCUGAAAAGCCUUACCCCUAACAGUAGGAGGAAAUGUUGUGGGAGUCAUGACGGAAUACACCUUACAAAGCCUGCAUUGCUGAAGGGAAUGCAAAGCUCGAAGUUCAUGUAAUUCAGGAGCUAAUUUCUUAAGCUACUUCUUCACUGACAUAGCCACAGUGAGGACAGCAGGGUAGGACAGCAGGGUGGCACAGCUCUGUGGCUGAGGGGCACCAUCACAUACACCCCAAAGUACUGAGAAGGCUUCAUUCUUCUGGGCAACAGUAGCAAAAGCAGAUCUCCUCAACUUUCUGAACUUAACAU
rnacentral:lncRNA from 1 species